rnacentral:rRNA from 1 species
UUGAACGCUGGCGGCGUGCCUAACACAUGCAAGUCGAGCGGUAACAGGUGUAGCAAUACAUGCUGACGAGCGGCGAACGGGUGAGUAAUGCUUUGGAAUCUUCCCAGUAGUGGGGAAUAACCAGUCGAAAGAUUGGCUAAUACCGCAUACGUCUGUAAAGGGGAAAGCGGGGGCGUCGUAAGACCUCGCGCUAUUGGAUGAGCCAAAGUCGGAUUAGCUAGUUGGGGGGUAAGUGGCCUACCAAGGCGACAAUCCGUAGCUGGUCUGAGAGGACGACCAGCCACACCGGAACUGAGACACGGUCCGGACGUCCUACGGGAGGGCAGCAGUGGGGAAUAUUGGACAAUGGGGGAAACCCGUGAUCCAGCGACGCCGCGUGUGUGAAGAAGGCCUGCGGGUUGUAAA